GUGACCGAUAGGUUAUGGAGCUAACCUAGUUAAGUUUGGAGAUAAAUAGUUAAGUUUUAACAAGGGUGUUGGACAUUGAAAACGUAUUUAUUUCAGUUGGACAGUUUCCUAAGUAAGCACAAUGGCUGGGCUCAAGGACCUGAGUGGGUUUGGGAAUGAGUUCUCAUCUGAAGACCCUUGCUGUCCAGGAGCCUUACCUGAAGUUGGUUCUACCGUAUCCUGCCGUUUGUCCGUCACAAGCUGUACACCACAAUGCACUGUGGGAUCCUAACAGAGAAGUGGGAUGAAGUGGAACCUGACCCUAACCAGGGUCUGCACACCCUAUGUGGAGCAGGAGACACUAAGUCCCACAACAGGAUCGGCAUCCACAUGUUCACCUGCAACACCUCCAUGGUUGACAGUUGCUUCAACAACUCAGACGGUGACUUUCUCAUUG